rnacentral:rRNA from 1 species
GACGAACCGUGCGAACGUUGUUCGGAAUCACUGGGCUUAAAGGGCGCGUAGGCGGCUUGCCAAGUCCGGGGUGAAAGCCUCCAGCUUAACUGGAGAAGUGCCUUGGAUACUGGCGAGCUCGAGCGAGGUAGGGGCGGGUGGAACUUCCGGUGGAGCGGUGAAAUGCGUUGAUAUCGGAAGGAACGCCGGUGGCGAAAGCGACCCGCUGGACCUCUUCUGACGCUGAGGCGCGAAAGCUAGGGUAGCGAACGGG